rnacentral:misc_RNA from 1 species
CAGCAACAUUCCCGGGAGGACAAACAUUAUCCCAUAAAUCCCUUCGAGAAAUGGUCAUCACUAGGGUGGAUUGAUUCACGGACGUCACAGAAAAUUCUUGAUUAUUUAUAGCUAUAAUAGGGAACUGAUCUUCUUUGCACUGGAGCUGGAAUCCUUCAUGACGGCAGAUUUCAGGUAUCUCAUCUCUCCAGAAAGGAUAAUGAAGAUUUGACAGGCGUCCACACUGGAAUGGUGUGACGCACUCUCUAUAAUGCUCAUCUUCUUCACAAUAAGAUGUUGGAACAAAUACUAACAGAAAGAAAAGGGUGGUGAUGAAGGGCACAUGGGGUAGCAGGAAGACAUGGGCACCCAUUUUUUUUUUUUUCCUCAGAUAAGAUGAA